UGCUAUAUGCUCUCGGGAUUCC
rnacentral:miRNA from 14 species